CUCUCCACAAAGUUCUCUAUGAAAAUGAGAAUCUUGAUGAUGCUGCAUCGGCAAUCAACGACUAUUCUUUCCCUCUCUCUCUCUCUCCCUCUGUAUAGAUUAUUUGGAUUCCAUCCAGAUCUUCUUCAGGUAGGUUUUUGGCAGUCUUUAUCAAGACAUUAAUAGAUCCACAAGCUUCUAUUUCAAUAAGUGGACAAGAGUCACAACAUCAAGAUCAGUAAGCUUCCACUAUGAAUCGAAUGGUUUUGAGCAAUGCCUUGGAUGACCUAGACUUCGUCCAUAAGUGGAAGCCAAAUCAUUCUAUCAGUACCAAUAUAGCAAGUUGGCAGCUAUUUUUACAUCAUGAUGAUAUCUUUGAUAUGUCCGUCAAUCACGUAUAUUUUUGGAUAUAUUUUUCAGUAUUGCCAAAUGAAAUUGUUGUUUUACGAAAAUAAGUACCUCAAUUAAUAUAAUAUGUCUUCACUCCAACUUGCAGCUAUAUUGCUAAUCACAUAAGUAGUACCACUA
rnacentral:precursor_RNA from 1 species